CUGUUAGAUCACUGAACUGUAAAUGACACUAGUACACUACUUUGAGUUAGGUGCAAAAUACUGUAGAAACCUCUCAACACAUUGUUGUUGACCUGAUGACCUCCCGGUAACCCCUGGUUAUUUUCAGGAGAAAAAAAUGACCGGAAGAGAGGUACUAGUAUAGUAGAUACAGACUCUUGUAAAUACUAAACCGUAAAGGCUUAUCGCUAAGCAGACGAUACGAUUUUACGAAUCUGAGGCAGCAGGCGUGAAGCGUUGCCGAUGGAACUGACUAGAAAAUAUGACUCCAAGAAGGCUGCUGAUGUCCACAUCAUGAUGUUUUGAUGCCACACUUCCUAGUUCCUAAGGCCACAACCUGGGCUCGGAGGCACAAAUUAUGGUCUCAGGGAAAAGUGCAUCAACAUUUCAUGCUGGGACAUUCUCCCAAGUAAAAUACAGAUUUAAGAGGUUGAACUCUGGAGGCUAGGACUAAAAGUGUGGACAGAAGUUGAAGACAUGCCAGGUUGGACUGUUGUUAUAUUACAUGAUGAAAGGAUUGCUAGCAUCUCUGAUGAUUCAAGCUAUCUCUGAUGAGCGCUCUUACUAGAGGAUUCAGCCAAGAAAGUGCUAAUCUGAUGUGAGCCCAGAGGCAAGUUUGCUAUGGUCAAGUGAUAUGUCUGGCGUAAGCUGUAAAGUGCCUCUGCAAACAAGAAAAACACAGAGAGAUGAAUACAUGUAUUAAUCAAACUCUUGAAGUCACCAGAGUAUUUCGAGUCUUGACAAAACUAUUACUACUGAAGCAACAAAAACAACAACAAAAAAUUGAAUGGUGUGGUUGAAUGGUGUGGUUGAUGAGGAAGUUAAACCAAUUUAUUGUGGUUUAGUGGGAAGUUGUGGCUCUAGCUAGUAACUAACAUUAAAGAUUGACUGGCUGCAAAAGUUAAGAUGUGAAUGAAAGGAACUAUUCAGUAAGGCUGAACAUAUACCUUUAAGAAGCACAGGACUAGGAAACUAGAAAGUGGUUAAAUGUACCAGAAUGAAAAAAGACACCAGGCUGAGAUGACCUUUUUUUCAUAAUGCAAUGAUGUGGCACUAAAACGUCCCUCUCUGAUUCAGGCCACUUUAAGAAAGUAAUUGUUACAAGAUUCAUCCCAGCUUGCUCUCCUGUUUUUAUGGUUUUGCUGAUGUAGAAUUCAGUAUUGUAUGAAAUAGAUGUCCCAGUCUCUACAGACAUCCAAAAAGAUCACAAGAAACAUAACAUACUCAAGCUUCUGACUAACAUCUUGUAACAGUAUGGUUCCUGAAUUGGUGAGAAAAAUACUUAAAAAAGAGUAGUCCUUCUUCAUUUUCUGACUCAAAGACAGGAUUUUUAAAUACAUAAAGCUUAGUCAUUUUCUUUAAGCUUACCUCUAAUUCAGAGUUAUCUUGUUGCAAAUUACUUACUGAUUGGAAAUGCAGCUUGUAAAAUAUAUUUUUAUACAGUAAGCUACUGGUUUCCUGGUCGUGCGGUUUGCACGCUGGUCAGUCGUUUGGAUUUAUCGAUGGUCCCGGGUUCAAACCCUGCCAGCUCCCAUCCCCCGUCGUCCUACUAGGACUAGGAAGUAAACUCCGAAACGUAAAACAUUUUACAAAACAUUUUUUUUUUAUCCAUGUUUACAAAGAUAAUUUAGCUUUCCAAAUGCUUUAUAUGUUUUGAAUGUUCUAUUGCAUCUAUAUAAUAUAUGCUUAUGUCAAUGUCACUAUGAAACUCAUACAGAGAAGUCCAUCCUAGUUGCAUAUUUUAUCAAUAAACUGUAAUGGCCAUAUUACAUAUUUUGCUUUUAUAGGAAUUAUUAAAUUAAUUUAUUCAGUUAUUAAAUGCAUUUGGAAAUCUAGUUGUUGUCAUUAAACUGCCUAGUCCAUGUAAUCCUGCCAAAAGUUGUUGCUGUUUAUUGAACAGCAUGUAAUAUAGUGGCAAUGAUAAAUGUGUUACAUUAUUUGUAUUUCUAAAGUAGCCAGAUAACACUAACAUCUUCAGUCUUCAAAUAGUUCCAUGGCUGUGGAUUAUACAGAGACAUAACUAGUGUAAACACAAAGAGAAAUCAUUUUGUUUCUGUGAUGGGCUUAGGCAGGGCUGGCAAUUAGAUAGUCCUGCCAGAAAUGUACCCAGCCUGGCAAUGUGUGUAGGAACAUGACACAAAAGUGCUUCUGCACCAGACAAAACAAAAAAUGGCACUGGCAGACACUGUUUGGGUUACACUUUGGAGGGGGGUGGGGGAGGGGGGGCGGAGAAGUGACACAUGUCAGAUUUCACCUUUCAUCCAAUCUUAAAUCACAGGUAAAUGGGCAGCCCAUAAUGUCUACAUCAUGACCGUACAACAACCACUUGAUUGAACUCUAGUCAAGCAAAGUAUCCAAACAGGGCCAGCUUAAAGUAGGGGGAGGCCCCCCCGAACACGUUUUCAAAAGAAUUAUUAAUAAUAAUACUUGUAUUUAAAAACAAGCUGUAAUUUAGAAGAAAGAAACGAGUACUGGUAAAUUUUAUUUGAUCUCAUUUUCUUUAUUGAAAAAAAAUUAAUAUACAUAUUUGAGUUAAAAAAAUAAGUUUGAGUUUGUGGAGCGUACUGGUAAGUCACUGUUGUAAAUCUGGAGCUGUAUCUAUAUAUUAAAAGCAGGCUAUGUGCAAACAAUUAUUAACCACACACAGUGAUGCUAACUUACCAGUUGAAAUUUUGAUAUUUUUUAAAAAUCUCUGUUGUGGUGACCCACCCCACCCUCACGCGAAGGUCUUGGGCAGUAGCCCCACCAGCCCUCCACAAAUCUGGCCCUGUAUCCAAACUUUUGUUUUUUUUCAAAUAAAAUGUUUGCAGACUUAAUGAAUGAAUGGAUGAAACCAAUUGCUUUGAAUGUGAAAUAAGGUCUAUUGUUUAUUCAUUAAGAUGUUGCUAGUCACAUUUGAGUUAUUUUAUAACACUGUACAAAAAAAAAAUCAGUUUAAAAUAAUCAAGGUUAUCACUCUUACACAAGACACUUCGUAUUAACUCUUUGUAUUAUUGAUGGGCUACAUGACUGAGUUUGACACAACAUUUUAUACUUGUUUAUAGUUAGCUACUAAAGUGUCAUGUGGACCUCACAAUCCAUAAGCAUUGUAUUGACAGAAUAAGUCUUGAGUGGAUGAUGUGAAAGAACGCGAAUAUCGUGGGUUCAAUUUUUGUUCCAAUCAAUUGAAAAGGCGUGACAACAUAUUUGUCAUUUCUCCCACCAGCUAUUCUCGGAUCAAGUUGAGACUUUACUUCAUCUGUACACAUUUAUUUCUUUUACCGAAAGAAACAGGAAUCAAUAAAAAGAAGAAAAAGGGGACGUUAA